GUUCUGACUCACAAAAUCACUCCGGAAUCACAUAUACCAGUGGACCUCUAGCUUAAACAUAUAUUACAGCUGCAUCGUAAUUGGAUUAUGAAAUUUCAAAAAACACUAGUAAUUUAAAAUACACUACUUAAAAUUAUACACACUUGAUAUUUUAGUUAUGUAUCCUUUUAAAUGAACCCUGCCUAUUAUACAAUUUUCAAGGCUCAAUAAUAGCCUAAUCAGUUCCUAUUCUAUUGCAUUCAACCAUCGUUAAAAAUUCCCCUAUUUUGAUCUCCUAUGGUCUCCCGUGUUCACCAUCAACUUCAUUAGCGACAAACUUCACAACAACUCUGCUAGAAGACGACCACCGGCAAAAGGUGAGGAACACAGAGAAGGGUUGCCAGGAAAUUAACCAAUCGAAUCAAUGGCACAUUUAGAAAUGCAAUUGUAAUACAAGCUGUUCUUAAUUGAAUGACUGGGUGACAACAUUUUUUCAUUUUUAAUGCAUCCAUCUUCCCAUUUUCAUUGUCAUUAUCUUCCUUCUCUUGUGUGCACGAUGCUUCGCUGCAAUCCGUAGCUUCCUCUUAGCAUUCCGCAUUGGGUUCACAACAGCCAUGACCUUUUCCUCUCGCUUCCUCUUUUCUCUCUUCACCUUGAUACUUCUCCUCAUCUCACUAUAAACCUGUACAAAAUUGUGGAUGCCCAAAGCAUUCCGCAUACUUUUGCAAACCUCUUCCGCUAGCAGCUUCAAUUCAUCAGUGACAACUUUCCCAGCAAAUCCUUCACAAACUUUAUACAACGGUAACAGCAUGUCAAAUGCAUGCUUCUGUAACUUGUCCUGUUCUAUUUGUAAAGAAAUCUUUCCAAAAGUAUUGAAGAUGAUUUUCAUCUACAUGCAAAAUUCAACAUUAGACAACAACAAUUAUUAAGCAGGAAAAAAAAAACUCAAAUACCAAGUAAUAGAAGGAAAACCAAAGGAAUAGAUAUAUUCUUAUAUUCAUAAACAUUCUAGCCAAUCAUAGCAAUUCAGAUGCAACAACCUGAAUAGCCUCCUUUUGAAGAGCAAUUUUCCCCAUUUUUUUAAUCAAAUUAGAGAGGAGCAAAUAUUGGAGAUUCUCACAACGGUCUCCAUAAUCUUGGUCAUGGACACCAGAUAUAACUUUUAAAAAGAUGUCUUUUCCUUUUCUUGCAUCAAGCAACUGAAAGGCUUUAAGAAAUUGGCCUUGUUCAUGCUGUUCAAGCGUAGACCAGAAAGUAGAAGGAUCCACAGAUUCCACUUUUCCCAUCAGAGAAUGAAUAGCAGAAAUUGUAAAGACAAGAUUCUGUGUAAUCAGGUUUUCAACAGCGUUAUCAAUGACUUGUGUUUUUAGCUGGCAGCAAAGGGAAACAGCUAUCAUAAAAAGCCUAUGUGGCCUCAUAAGGAAAAAUGUUCCCAAUGCUUUUUCAUGACUCUCUUUGCUGGCCUUAGUCACAGUAGCAUAGUAAAUUGCCACAAGGCGACUUGAUAUGUUGCGUAACCAUGGGUGUGGGUGUAAGAGCAACUCACAUACUGCUUCCCAUAUAUCCUCAAAAUCCUUUUCAAAGCUGAGAUCAUGAAAAUGAUGUAGAAUCUUCUCCAACAAAACUAACGAAUAAUAUGCCUCUUUCCAGAGAGGAACAGCUUCAUCAUGAAGAUCUAGCGCUGGACUCUCACUGGCAACACCCACAGCAGCCUGCAAAAUGGUUUUGCUCACAGGCAAUAUACUGCUGAUAUGCUUUUGAAAGCUUUUAUUCAUGACCUCAACCAAUAAUCCCAGUACCUGCACAUACAAAGUUGGAGGCCAUUAGAAAAUGGAACAUACUGACAUCAAGAAUCCAAACCUAAUAAGCAAAUAUUUUGGUCACUUCAAGCCCAUCUAGAAUUGGAAAAAAGAAAAUAUCAAGAAACCUGAAUACAAGAGAGAAAUAGCAAAGUUUGAUAAUAAAAGACAAGACAUCGACAAGAAAUCCAAAUAGGCCCCAUGCAGCAUCAUCUCCUUAUCCAUUCUGCUCAAGAAUGCAUCAUGUAAGCCAACAAUAUGAGUAGAUAAGAUCAAAUCAUCCUACCCAGAAGCACAUUGGAUCCUAAAUCCUCACAUCUUAGGAAGUAGGUGGACUGGCUAAGGUACGUCCAUAGCCUCCUAGUCCUUGCAGACAAAUCACAACUCGGAAGUUGUGGCGUGUAAAGCCCAGAGACGUGCCUCUGCUAAGGCAAGAUUCCCCAAGUUGGCUAAUGCAUUUUUAGCAUAUGAUUUAUUAUGUGGUUCAGAAAUUUUACCUGUGCACCAGUGCUCUGGACUUGCCGCUUUUCAUCCAUAUACCAAGAUAGACUAAAGUCAAACAUGGAAUCUAGCAAAUGAGGACUUGCACGUCCAAUCAAAAGCUUUAAAACUGUACCGGUCAUGGAACGGACUUUAUUAUCACGGUCAUUGACUAAACAUUGCACCAAAUGGAUAAAUAUUGUUUGUGCAUGUUUAUCCAGAAAGUUCCUGGGAAAUUUGACUAUUAUAGCAUGGAGCAUUUCAAGUACAGAUUCUCUUCCAGUUGAAUACUCAUAACUCAAAUUCCUCAGCAGAAAAUCUAAAUGUUGUUGUAAAUAUUUUCCAGAAAGAUGAUAAUCUAGUAAAAAUUGCAACAUAAUCUGACUGCAUUUCUUGCGAAUUGAAUCCACUUGGCUUGUAACCAUUAGCUCUGCAAUAUGCAUCAUAACAUCAUAUAUCUCAGGAACAACCAGCUUGCGAUUAACAACUGCCUUUAGAAGUGAGAGGGCCACAAAAGAGGGAUUCCGCUCAAGAUCAAUGAACAGUGGAAACUGAAUUAGCAGAUGCAGUUGUUCUGAGGAAAGGGUAAUCUUAGUACUUCGCAGGAGCACAGUUAACAUUUUUAGACAUGAUUGCAUCAGAGAAUUGUUGGAGUUCACAGAACUUUGGGCAAUACUCAGUAAUGUCACCUUUAUUUUAUCUGUCUGAGAUGCAAGGGAUGGCAGAGGUAGCCUCACAAGUUGUGUAAGGCAUUUAAGGGAUGCAGACAAAAUGUCUUCAUACCUAGAACUCAAGCAGUCACCAAGCAGUUUAACAAAGGGAUCCAACAUUGAUAGAAGUUCUUCAUUAUUUUUAUCCAAUUUCACACUCUUCAUGCGGUUGUGGAAUAGCCCAAGAGCAAAAACAGUAAUGAGAUGAGAGCACACAGAUUUAGUUCCAUUAUCUCUGCCUGCAGAAAUUGUUUUCUCAUUAACCUCUCGUCUGUGGCGAGGCAUCAUCUCUGUACCAGAAGAAUUCUCACCUUGACCAUCCUCAUGAUUGAUCCCAUCUUCAAUAAACCCAUAUAUAAAAAUAAAUAGAUCAGUCUGAUCAACUGAUGGAUUACUUUCAAUACCAGCCGAUAUGUGAUUUAACAUACUUUCCAAUUUGGUUUUCACUUUGGGUGUUAGAUGCUUCUGCAGGCGAGCUUUAACUGGUGAAAGUAAUUUCAAGCCAUGGGUUUUGAAUGUUAUGCUUUGGGAAAUUAUUUUCAAGGUUUCAAAGGACUUCAGCUUCCUAGUUUCUUUCAUUUUAGAAGCAAUUUUUUCUACUUCUUUCUCCUCAGCAACAUCUCCAAGAAUAUCAUUCUCUACCACAGAAAGGAGGUCUUCCAAACAAUAAUCCAACGUCCCACACUUAGGAUUUGAAAGAAACUUCAACAAAAUAAAAUGGAGACUAUAGCCCAACACAUGGAGCUCAUAUCCUCGCUUCAAGGUAGCUCGCAAAACCCCGACUAUAAACUGCAAAUAUUCCAGGCCAAGCUCCUUUAAACAAGCAGCCAAAGCAAACCUAGCUUCAUCACGGAUGCUUUCCAUACGGCUCUUUAAAUUGUUUGCAAUGCGAUGAAUGAUACUUGGAAGUUGCGAGUCCAUUAUGUCCAUUGGAAGCAACUUCAGUACUUUCAGUGCAGCUACAUUGAUGUUAACAUUGACCUUAUCAGAAUCACAAUCCAGUAAUUUUCGCAUCUUAGGGAGCACAGUUUUCUGAAGACAUGCCUGUACUUCAGUGGCUAUUACGGAACAACUACCUUUAGGCAGCAUAGCUGAAUAAUUACCACCACAUUUGUGAAAUGUAGCGAAAGAACCUGUUUCAGUGCUAUCAGAGCCUACAAUGCUAUCUGCAGAGUCUUUGUUUUCUAGACUGAAACAAUUUUGUGAAAAAUGGAACUGGUCCAAUAUAGAGCAAAUAAGCCGCACUACAAUCUUCUGCUUGUCCAGAUUUAUCUUCAUUUCUCGAAAGCAUCUAAUCAAUAAGGCAUAAUAAGACUUCCAUUCCAUCUGAGCAGAUAUUGAAGCAAGAGCUUCAAUGCAUGCAGUUUUAACAUGUUCUCCCUUUCCACCUUGUUCAUCAAACAACAUACUAAACAAGAGUGGAACAAACACUUUAUUCAUGAUAUCCUCCGACAUCUUACUUUUACUGAUAAUAUUACUAAAGCGUAAAACUGCCCUUGCCCUUCUAUGCUUCUGCAAGUGAAUAAUAUUGUUGAAAAAAUCUUGCUCAGCAUCCUCAGAGCACAGCACUUUGAAGGAAUUGAGAUUUUCCACCUCUGGAAGCUUCAACACCAUAUCUCGUAAUAACUCAAUCCAUUCCUUCCUAACAGAACCUCCCUCCUUCAUUUUGUUCCCCAUAUGCUUCAAAAGAAACUUGUUUAUUAUGCGCCGAACACAUGCUUUUGUCCAACAACACUUGCUGCCUGUUGUGAUCUCUUGAUGGAUUUCGUAUCGACUCUUAACCCCUCCAUCAAGAAUUAAGGCACAAAAUUCAACAAAAGAAAGCAAUGACCUGUAAGCACUAUUCCUUAGAAUUAAUUCUUCUGAUGUCAUAUCAUACACAAAAUGUGACAAGAGAACUAAUGCAUGAUCUUCUUGGAUGGUAUAGAAUAAAUCAACAUCUAUCUUUUCAUAUGCACUGAUUAUGGUGUCAUAAUCAAGGCCAGUCAAUUCAAUUGCAGAGGUUGCAUUCAAGUCACGAAGAAGGCUUGCCACUGAGAGUACAGAAGGAUCAAUUUUAGCAAGAGCAUAAAGCAGAUCACAGAUGUUCAACCGCAUAUCCAGCUCAACAGAAAUAAGAUGUGGAGAGAUAACAUUCAGAAUUUUGGUAGUACACUCAUUUCCUAAUACAGGUAUUAUGUCUCGAAUAAUUUGCAAGCAUUCAACAAAGACACCAGAAUCUUCACGUCUUGUUGCUAUCAGUGGAAGCAAGAUAUCCAAAAACUUCCUUGACUGUAAUUGAUCUUGUAUAUACUUCGACAACAAUUUGAAAAUUCUAGUAUGCGUCUCCCCAAGAUAUUUGGCCAAUUUCCUCUUGUUUGCAGUAUCAUCCUGAAACAGACAGUGCAAGCUACUGAUAAGUUUGUCAAGGUUUGGAAAUAGAACCUUCUUCACUGAAUUGUCUUCAUCAUCCAACUCUUCAUUGAGAUUCAGCAGGUUCUCAAUGAACUUGAGAACGCAAGAUAUAAUAGCCUUGGAAGCAGUAGUGACAGUUAGAAUCGAGAAAAUAUCAGGAACCAGAUUCGUUUCCCUAGACAAUAGCGGUACAAGGUGGCGACUGCUACUCAUAGCCAAAAAGCAUGAGAAUAGUGAACUUGGUUUCUCACUACUGGAACCCUCCAGCUUGAAACCGUCAAUUAAAGGUUUUACUGAUGCAAAGAACAUGCCCCAGAAUACGCAAUCAAAAUCAUGAUCAUCAUACUUAUUGAUAACAAGGGACACAAUUUUCAGACACAAAGACCUCAAAUCCUUGAACUGCUUCAGCGUUGAGCUGGUCAGUGCAUGAUUUACGGCAGUACUGUCUUCAUUACGCAGUUCAAGGCUGACAAAAGAAUGACUUUUGCUUAUAGAAGAUCCAGUGCCCUUUGCAGGGUCGAGACUUGAAAUGCAGCUUUGCAGCACCCUAACAACACAUCCCAUUAACAGAUCCAGAAAAGGUCUGAUAUGUAAUUCAUCAAAACUUCCAAGGAUAUCUUCAAUGACAUGCAGAAAACCAUAUUUCUUCUUCCAAGACAGUGCCAUGAUAUUUUCCAAGGUGAAGUACUUCAAAAUAUUUGAUGGUUGAAGUCCAUCCACAGAAUUUUUAGGUAAUGUCCAAAAUAUAUUUGUGGUACUAUCAGCUUCCUUUGAAAUAUCAUGCAAGGGCUUUAUUAACGAUGCAAAGAAAAGAGGAAUCUCAUUGACAUCAAGUUGAGCUAUGAAUCGAAGAACUGCCUUCCGAUGAUGUAAACUUGUAUGCUUCCUAGAGGCAAGUAUCUUCAGUUUUCUCACUUUUGGUACCAGAAUAAGGAUAAUUAUAGGCACAAGAUUAGCUCUGUGCUCUUCUUCAAUAAGAAAAGAUUCUCUGCUCAAACUCCACGUUGUUAGUUCUUCUCUCAAAUUUUUUGAACUGAUCAAGUUUCUCAGAUGCUGUUCAUAUGGGAUUAAAAAAUCAUCUUUCCAAGUUAAGAGGCAGUCAAGAACCCUCAUCUGUAUUUCAGCAUCAUUUUCAUCCAUAAACCUGAUUAGCAGAACAUCUUUUAAAGAUUGGCUCCUAUAGAAGGCCCUAGGGUUCCGCAUGAGUUUAAACAGGCUUAACCAUUCUUUUAGGACACCUCUCCAUUCCUUGCCUUUGCAAGCAUCUGAAUUGAAUGAACCCACACUGAGAAGAUCUUCAUUGUUGUAGCCCAAAAACUUCAAGAACAGAGGUACAAUUUGUCGAGAUCGAGAUUCAGCAACAGAAGGAAUUUUUUGUAAAGACUGUAGUAAUGAGGAUAGAACAGUUGCAUAGGGUGUGCUAUCAGAUGUAGGAGCAGCAAAUGAAGUAAAACGCUCAACCAAGUCACAGGAAUUGUACGGCACUUCAGCACUUUGUCCAUCAGGCUUAUUAUGAGGUGAAUGAAAUGUAGAUAGGCAUUCUUCAAAAUAAUGAACAAAUUUGCCCCAUACAAGUGCAACAUUUUCCCUAAUCAGAAUAGCAAGGCACUCAGACGCAGGAUUCCAUAGAUAACUGAAACGGUUAUAGAAAAUGCCAAUUAUUCCACUCAAAAGUAUGGGCAUAUAAGUUUCAGAUAUCUUUCCAGCAGAUAUGGCCAUCUGUAUUCUAGAUAUUAACAGAAUAACUUUCCUGCUUGUAGAAAUUGAAAGAGGAGUUGCUUCAAUUGAGAGGAGGAGCUGAAGAACGUUAACACCAUAAGACCCAUGACUUUCUGCAGGGUGAGUCUGAUAACCUUCUGUUUUCAUUAUAUUCUCAGGCGGCUGAUCAUUGGCAGACAUUUUACAUUCAUGACAUUCACAGUGGCACAAAAUUCUUAGGGUUGCAACACGAAUUGCCUUAUCUGAGUUGCACAAAUUAUCAGCAAAAAUGCCUAAUGCAUCCACAGCCUUCUCUGUUUCAAACUCAGGAAGAUAAGAUUUGCAGUGGCUGUCUGCCUCCAUUAUUGGCCCAUACACAGAGUCCAAAUAAUCAGCAACAGCAGAUAACACAUGUGAGGAUGAUUUGUAUGUCUUUGCAAGAUGCAAAAUUUUUCUUGUUUCUUCUAGCCCACAUAUAUUGCCAAGUUUGUAAUAAGAACUUAUAGCAGCCCCCAACAGGCUUUGCCAAGUAUGCUUAGAAACACCAGCAAUACUUUCAUCUUCAAUCAUCAAAAGGCAAUCAAGUGCAUCUAUUAAAUCCGUUAGCGAGGAUGGCCUUGCUCGCACAUCUAUCAUAUGAGGAUAGCAACAGAUGAUUCCCCAGAGCAGAGCCAACUUGCCCUCAUCAGUACUGGUUGAUGCUAGAUUACCAUGACUAAUAUCAUUGAUCACCCCAAUCCAGGAGCAGAUGGCCCCCUGGAGAAAACCAUGAAUUCGUGAAAGACCUUCUGUAGAUGUUCCAUCUAGGAAGCUAGAAAUUAGAGAAUUCUUUUGCAGUCUCUCACACAAUGAACAAAUCAGAUAUACAACUUCGUCCUGUGAAGUUUCUAUUAAAUCAUUCAUUGCGCUUAAAAUAUUAACUCUGGACGCGUGUAUUAUGUAUGGGUCCUUUUCCAGCAGUUCCCUAAUAAAUGUCAAAACACUUGAGUUCCUCAAUGCAAAAACUGGAGUCCACUGCAACAAACAGCUGGAGAUAGUAGACAUGUCAUUGAAACUUUUGAGCCCAUCAAGAAUGCAUAGCAUUAACUGCAGAAUCUUGUCAACAAUUUCAGAAUUGUCUUGUCCCACCACAAUGCUAGAAGGGACAAUAAACUUCUGAACAAAUGACCUUACUCGUUCAAUCAUUGGCUGGUAAUCAGAAAUUUUCAUCCCAUUAUUGAUCUGGACAGUUGAUAUAAGCAGUGACAAAAGGCAACUUAGAUGCCGGUAGUCUUCAUCAUUUACAGAGUCAUCUAUUCUGUUAUAUAAGCAAUUCCACAUCAAAUUUAACUCUUUUGGUUCUAGAUCUUCACAUAAUCUUUUAAAGGUAGCAGUGAGAACUUCAAUAACUGUGUCCACGCCUUGGUUGAACUUAUCACCACCAAUAUUAAAUGUAGAAUUUUCCGUCAAUAGCUGCAAUACCCAAUCUGCUCUUGAAUGAAAUUUCGAUGAGGGCCCUCUCAUAAUAUGAUAAAGUAAAACAAUGACUCCAGAUUUUCGAGCAGGCAAUGGUUUAUUCACUAUUUCAAACAUGAUCUUUCUAAUGCCUUUUCUAAGUUGCUCUUUAGGAGCAUUUCUUAGCAAGAAUGAUGUUGCGUCCGCCAUAAAUUCUUGUAUGUACCACUCUGGGUAGUAUCUUAAUUUUAUUGUCACCUUGAGCACAUGUACAACAUCCUUCACAAGAUAUUUUUGCAAAUACAUCAGAAUAUGAGACCAUGAUUUAAAAAUCUGCUCAAUGAUCUCUGGCUCCCUAUCAGCACCGCUUUUGAGAAGAGAGUAAAAUGAAUCAGCAAUCCUAGGCAAAAAGGAGAUGAAAUCCUCUAACAGAUCUCUAGAUAGACUUGCAGUUAACCGAAGAAUAGGCUCAAGCGACAGCCGUGCUUUCAAUUGCAAUCUAGAAAGAAGUUCUGACAAAAUUGAUUCUUUGUGUAAUAGCACUAAAGGUAAUGUCUGUACCAAGGGCAUCAUCUUCUCAUAAAACGAGAUGAAGUCCUCUGCAGUAUUCAACUCCCUCCAUUCUACGAGGUAAUCCCGGAAAAAAGAAGAACCCUCAGAUGGCUCAGGCUUUAUUUUAUCAAGGCUUCGAUAUACAUCAAUCUCAACUUCUUCUAUUCUCUGGGAGAAAGUCUUGAAAACGAAGCGGCGGCGACCGGGGGAUUUGUUCAGUGACUUGACCCCCACAGCAUGCAACGGCGUGGCCAUGGUAAAGUCUCUUCUUGAACUGAAUUGAUAUAGGGUUGGAGAGCUCGAAGCUUGAUAGCG
rnacentral:misc_RNA from 1 species